rnacentral:misc_RNA from 1 species
UGAGCUCAUCAGCAUUUUCCGUCUUCCCUAGAUGAAGAGAUACACUAGGCGAUGCCCAGACAGUGACGUAGAUUGUUUCAACUGAGGCUUGAACUAGAUCCAGUCUAACUAAGCCCCCUAUAUGUACAGUCUGCCCAUGCUUAAUCCUAUAAGUUCGAGGUUGUAGCUCCUUUCGUAUCUCAACCAUUUUCUGCUCCUCCCUGUUUAAUCGCAUGGACAUAAGAUAUGGAUGUAGGAGGCCCGGCG